AUUGAACGCUGGCGGCAGGCCUAACACAUGCAAGUCGAGCGGAUGAAGGGAGCUUGCUCCUGGAUUCAGCGGCGGACGGGUGAGUAAUGCCUAGGAAUCUGCCUGGUAGUGGGGGAUAACGUCCGGAAACGGGCGCUAAUACCGCAUACGUCCUGAGGCAGAAAGUGGGGGAUCUUCGGACCUCACGCUAUCAGAUGAGCCUAGGUCGGAUUAGCUAGUUGGUGGGGUAAAGGCCUACCAAGGCGACGAUCCGUAACUGGUCUGAGAGGAUGAUCAGUCACACUGGAACGGGGACACGGACCAGACUCCUACGGGAGGCAGCAGUGGGGAAUAUUGGACAAUGGGCGAAAGCCUGAUCCAGCCAUGCCGCGUGUGUUAAGAAGGUCUUCGGAUUGUAAAGCACGUUAAGUUGGGAGGAAGGGCAGUAAGUUAAGACCUUGCUGUUUUGACGUUACCAACAGAAUAAGCACCGGCUAACUUCGUG
rnacentral:rRNA from 1 species